AAUGAACGCUGGCGGCAGGCCUAACACAUGCAAGUCGAACGAGGCAGCAAUGCCUAGUGGCGGACGGGUGAGUAACGCGUGGGAACGUGCCCCUUGGUACGGAAUAGCCCUGGGAAACUGGGAGUAAUACCGUAUGUGGUCGAGAGACGAAAGAUUUAUCGCCAAGGGAUCGGCCCGCGUUGGAUUAGGUAGUUGGUGGGGUAAUGGCCCACCAAGCCGACGAUCCAUAGCUGGUUUGAGAGGAUGAUCAGCCACACUGGGACUGAGACACGGCCCAGACUCCUACGGGAGGCAGCAGUGGGGAAUCUUAGACAAGAGGGGAAACCCUGGUCUAGCCAUGCCGCGUGAUCGAUGAAGGCCUUAGGGUUGUAAAGAUCUUUCAGUGGGGAAGAUAAUGACGGUACCCACAGAAGAAGCCCCGGCUAACUCCGUGCCAGCCGCCGCCGUAA
rnacentral:rRNA from 1 species